rnacentral:rRNA from 1 species
UACGUAGGGUGCAGGCGUUAAUCGGAAUUACUGGGCGUAAAGCGUGCGCAGGCGGUCUUUUAAGUCAGAUGUGAAAUCCCCGGGCUUAACCUGGGAACUGCAUUGGUGACUGGCGGGCUAGAGUAUGGCAGAGGGGGUAGAAUUCCACGUGUAGCAGUGAAAUGCGUAGAGAUGUGGAGGAAUACCGAUGGCGAAGGCAGCCCCUGGCCAAUACUGACGCUCAUGCACGAAAGCGUGGGAGCAACAGG